rnacentral:lncRNA from 1 species
GUGUGCAGUAAACUGGAAUGCUCUCCCUCGCUCACUCCUCAGUGUAGGAGUGAUCUGAAGCAGGACAAGCUCAGCCUGCAGCUGCCGUGGGCUUUGUGUGGACUGGACGCAGAGCUUGGGAGACGGGGGAGGGCUAUUACUCCAAUUCACUGUCAAUGGAAUUACAGCUAUAGCGGCAGUGUAUAUAGGAUUGCUUUUUCUCGUCUUCCUGGAGAUGCUCAGUCCCAGUAUAUUUUAAGGAAGAGAAAUAUAAAGGAAAUUUAGUAUGCCUCCUUUUCUUUAAAUGAAGAAUUUAGUUUCCUUUACUUCUUAAAAGAGAAUACCUGUUCUUGUAUAACGUGACUGCACCAGACAUUCUGAAAAAUCAGCAAGAAGCAAAAGCUGGAAAUAGCUAUUUCACAGCAGGUAAUCAUACCUCAGGAUGUAGCUACUGUACAAAGUUUAUACUUGGAUAAUCCUGGAUGGGAAUAAAGGUAGGGGGUAACUGCCUGAAAAACCUAUUACUAUACAGGCCUUAGCAUCAUGAAUGACUUUCUUCAUGAGGAUCUGAAGUUACUAUCUCUGACCACAUUGCACAGAAGAGCCAAUAAGAAUUUCAAAGAGGGCAAUUUCCACUA